rnacentral:rRNA from 1 species
UGGGGAAUUUUCCGCAAUGGGCGCAAGCCUGACGGAGCAAGACCGCGUGGGGGAAGAAGGCUCUUGGGUUGUAAACUCCUUUUCUCUGGGAAGAACAAAAUGACGGUACCAGAGGAAUCAGCAUCGGCUAACUCCGUGCCAGCAGCCGCGGUAAGACGGAGGAUGCAAGCGUUAUCCGGAAUGAUUGGGCGUAAAGCGUCCGCAGGUGGCAGUUCAAGUCUGCUGUCAAAGACCGGGGCUUAACUUCGGAAAGGCAGUGGAAACUGAACAGCUAGAGUAUGGUAGGGGCAAAGGGAAUUCCUGGUGUAGCGGUGAAAUGCGUAGAGAUCAGGAAGAACAUCGGUGGCGAAGGCGCUUUGCUGGGCCAUAACUGACACUCAGGGACGAAAGCUAGGGGAGCGAAUGGGAUUAGAUACCCCAGUAGUCCUAGCCGUAAACGAUGGAUACUAGGUGUUGUCUGUAUCGACCCGGACA